UACGUAGGGGGCAAGCGUUGUCCGGAUUCAUUGGGCGUAAAGAGCGUGUAGGCGGCCAGGUAGGUCGGUUGUGAAAACUGGAGGCUCAACCUUCAGAGGUCGACCGAAACCAUCUGGCUAGAGUCCGGGAGAGGAGAGUGGAAUUCUUGGUGUAGCGGUGAAAUGCGCAGAUAUCGGGAAGAACACCCGUGGCUAAGGCGGCUCUCUAGUACGGUACUGACGCUGAGACGCGAAAGCGUGGGGAGCGAACAGG
rnacentral:rRNA from 1 species